GACGUAGGGGGCGAGCGUUGUCCGGAUUCAUUGGGCGUAAAGCGCGCGUAGGCGGCCCGGUAAGUCGGAUGUGAAAUCUCACGGCUCAACCGUGGAACUGCAUUCGAAACUGUCGGGCUAGAGGCAGGUAGGGGAGAUCGGAAUUCCCGGUGUAGCGGUGAAAUGCGCAGAUAUCGGGGAGGAACACCGGGUGGCGAAGGCGGAUCUCUGGGCCUGUCCUGACGCUCAGGCGCGAAAGCUAGGGGAGCGAACAGG
rnacentral:rRNA from 1 species